UCGUACGAGCGAUUCCUCCUGCCCCCGCCGCUCGCACGAACCAGGAGCGAGGCCCGCUCGCACAAAAAAGCCCGGCUAGGGUUCCACCCACCGCCGCCUCCCUGCCACAGGCGCUCCCUCUCUUCGCCGAUCCACCUACGACACGCUCCUCUUCUUUGAUGCGGCCUAACCGCGUCCCGUUCGCCCGCCCGGCCACCUGUCCGUGAGGGUUUCCGCGGCACCGCCGCCGCCGGCUGCCAUUCACGCCCACGCCGACGGAAAGGCCGUAGUCAAGCCGUGGGGCGGGGGCAUCGGCGACGGGGCUGAUGCGACGGACCUCCAUGCGCCCUCCAAACCGAAUGCCCUCUUGUCCACGUCUACAUCUGUCCGUUUAUCUCCUCUGAGUCAGAGUGCCCUCCGUCAGAACUCUUUGUCAGCGUGGCGGCCGGUGGCAGCGGCCAUCUACGAUCUGUUCAUGCGUUGCCCUGAUGGAGGCGGCCGUGCUCCAUAGCAAGGCGGAAAGGGAAACCAACUUCAACUUUGCGAGGAGAAGUUCCGCAUUUGAGAAGCCGGAGAAGAGUAUCUCACUAAGUACAGAUUCGAGGUAGGGAUAUCAUUUUCUCUCCAAUCCAUUUAUCAUGGGAUCAUUUCCCAGAAAAAGACAAACAUGAAGGUAGCUGUGGACAGACUAUAUUUGUUUACUUCUUCUACCCACAAGUUUCAUGUACUGGACAACUAUAUUACACAUAUCUUGUGUUAUGAAAGAUAAUAGUUGGUGAUUGAUAUGGCAAGUGUCUACGAGCUGCCUAAUAUAGCAUGCAUUUAACAGUUCUUUCGCAUUCAUAUCUCUGCCUUCUCAUAAUUCCAUGGAUUUUUACUAUAUUGCGUAUCCCAGUGACUUUGCCAACUUGCUGACAUGGGGUCCUGUUCAGAGCACAAGCUUCACCUGAAUAACCUUCUUUCAGUUAGUAAAACACUCAGCAAAGGUAAUUGGGCCUCCCUUAAUUUAUCUACCAUCUUGCUUGGUUUGCACUGCUUUCUGUGUCUUAGAUUCAACCUCUCCAAAAAUGGGUGAAGUGUCAACCGUAUUCUGUUGAUAAUUUUAUGAGAACACGUUUGUCUAAAAUGAUUUUUAUUCCCCAUAAGAACGCACGGGCAGCUCUUAAAGCUGAAAAACUACAGCUUUCAUGUAGCAUCUUAUGUGUCGCACUUCUCUCGAAUAUGCUGAAUAGGUUGGUGCAUCUCACCACCCACAAGCACACACAAAGGACGCAUCUGCACUGAAGUGAAUAAAGAAUAUCAACUUAUUUCAUUGCUUUUGUCCACAAGAAAUGCUAUUUAUUCUACUACUAAUAUACAUGUGGUCUUCUAGAUGUGUUUGCUUUCUACAAUUGUGUGCAGGGUUUGUAAUUAUUAAAUUCAAGAUUUCUUCUUUUCAAAGUGAUAGAGCAUAUCCCUUUUUCAACCGGGCGAGAGGGAGCGAGAGAGAGAUCGUCACGUACAUAUUGUGUCCCACUCCGAUUUUGCUCACCAAUGUGUUCCUCCACGCUGCAGCAGCCGACUCCGUCGAUGUCGUGCUCGUUUACCAGCCAUGCAUUCCAGACAAGUUGAAUGCCGGUGGCAACAGACAUUCAACGGCACCCUCGUCGGCGCUCUCCUCGCAGGACCCCGCCUCCCACGCUGGACCUCCUUGCUGCCCGCACAACGCUAUUACUCCACGCACGCAUGGCCAAACUUCCUCAUAGGGGUGCGUAGGUGUGUCGUUCCUGCAGACCUAUUUUUUGGUGCUGCGUCGACAUGCUAGGCCACGCUUCAUCUUCGACUGGCUCAACCUCCACGGCACGGCGCAGCCGCGCAGGCUACAGUCCGCCCAAGCGCCGGGAUGUGCAAGGCGUUCUGGGGCGUGUGUACGCCGACUAAUGUGACUUUCUGCUUUACUCAGCGAGCAAUCCUAGGGAUUUCUUUUUUUUUUGGAAUUCAUUAUACAUUUCUGUUUUUGAUUUAAUUUUAGGGCCUCAUGUGCAUAUAUCUGUUGCAGAUUGGUGAAGAUAAAGUUGCCGAUGUGGUGCUCCUGCUCACCUCAGAUGCAAUUCAAAAUUAUGUUGAUUUAUGUUCCUCUGUGUUACAGUUUAUUCUGGUUUUUAGAAAUACUAUUUUUUUUUAGUAAGGACAGUGACUAUUCUUAUUUUGACAAAGAGUGUGGUAGAUGAACAUGUCUUCAUUUUCUGGACCGCUCAAUAUUAUGUGAUAUUGUACUGGCAAGUAACGAGGAGAUUGUUGAUGUGCGAUUCUAGAUUCUUGAGAGAAAUACUAAUUUUUUUUAGUAAGGACAGUGACUAUUCUUAUUUUGACAAAGAGUGUGGUAGAUGAACAUGUCUUCGUUUUCUGGACCGCUCAAUAUUAUGUGAUAUUGUACUGGCAAGUAACGAGGAGAUUGUUGAUGUGCGAUUCUAGAUUCUUGAGUGAAUACUACCAUGUUAUUUUAAGGCCAGUUGUCACUUAUAAUAGAAGCUCAAUAAUGCACUUACUCUACCACCAAAUUCAAAUUAUUGAAAGAUCAAUCCAACAUUAAUUUGCCUCAAAUACAGUCUGAUGCAUUUUCCUUAACAUGACACUCUUUUUAGAGUGAUAACCUUCAUUUCAGGUUGCCGGCAUUCCAAAGAAACUUCAAGAUUGCAAGACAAUGAAAGCGUAAUUAUAUAUUUUUUGCAGUGGCAAGGUGAAAUUGUAUAAAAGAGACAAAGAAGAGUUGCUUCAUGUCCUUAAUCAUCGGUGUGCACCAACGCAGAAAAAGUGUGUGGAGACUAUGCCAGUGGAGAGACCAACGACGAUUACCUUGAGAUAGUGGGAUGUGCAUGGAAGGAGCGACUAACAAUGUAGAGGAAAGCUGCGCUCGCCGGCACCGGUCAGGGUCCUAAAUGAUUGAGGAGUAAAAUUAGAUCAUGGCCUUUCAUGUUUGAAGGGAUAUAGUAUUAUGAUAACUCUCAAAAAUCAAUAUUGUAUAAUGACAGAAGUUAAUAAUCUAAAUCAGCAGGAGCAAGCUUUGGAUGAGUGUAUAUACUAGCGACAUGUGCGGAAAGCUAAGCGGGUUAAUGGAAGAUGAGAAUGGUCGAAGAGUUGCGGUGACGGUGUCAACCAUGAUGUUAUAGGGAGAUGCACUAUUGGAUGCCAUUCUAUUUGCUCCAUGUGCAAUUUGGUAAAAUUGAUUCAUGUUUUAAAUUCAAAAGUUAUGUUCUUUCAUGUUGUAAACUGCAUCCUAUAGUUAUUCAUGCAUUUUUGUCUACGCGAUGACACGUAUAAAAUGCAUUGUCAAUGUUUAGACGAUGGUGGUAUAAGAAGAAAAUAAACUGCUGUUUUUUAUCCUCGACAAGAUAUUUUGGGUCCUCUUUCUGUGCUAGCAUCUUUUCUUUUGGAAUGGGAUAGUUAAUGGUGCUCUUAUAAAAAAUUUGUUGUCUCCCUUCAUUCCGAAAUAUAAGCCCUUUUAGAGAUUUCAAUAAGGACUACAUACGGAUGUAUAAGCUUCGUAUGUAGUCCAUAUUGGAAUCUCUAGAAAGGCUUAUAUUUAGGAACGGAGGGAGUACAAGAAAAACAACUGCAGCCACCUUUUUUUAGUUACUCUAUUCCAAGGUUGGUACUAGAAGAUUUCAGAAGGAAAAUGAAUGCAAAACAAACUAUGGAGAAAGUAAUAUGUGCAAUAUACCAAACUGGAGGAAGAAGUACAAAUCAAGAUAAGAACAUUACAUCAGUGGUGGUUUGAAAGUGGCAAAAGCGGGGAGGAAGGUAAAAUAAGAAAUGUAGAAGAGCUCUCUUAUAUUGCCUACAAGCAAGUUGAUUAGUGCUCUUGUAUUUUCAAGAAGGAGAAGAGAAUUACUGGAAAAAAACAAAAUGGAAAUGACCUGAAGGAGGAACUUUGAAGGUAAACUGUGAUGGGCUUUCUUUUCUGGAAAUAGUAAUGGUGGCUAGGGAUCUAUCAUUAGAGACGAUGAAAGAGAUGAUAUCGCAUGUACGAUGGGUAAAACUCUGAAUAUACUACGUCACUUGCAUGUUGAGAUUGUGUCGGCUCACAAAUGAGCACAAUUAGUUGUGACUGCUAAGUAAAGUUGAGGUAUAAGCAAUAUUAGUUUUGAGACUGGCGGGUGUGGAACAUGAAGGGAAAGAUCUCUCUUGAGGUCUGCAUUUCUAUGCUGGAUGUGAAGGAGUUUCUCUACUAAAACUUACAGUUUUAAAACUUGUGUACUCCAGUAGAGAUUGUAAUAAAGUAGCACAUUCCCUAACCGCCCUGGGUUGUAGUUUAAAUAUAGAAGCAAGCGUUGUAAUGGACCAUGAUGUAUCUGUUGUAACUGAACAAGUGUCGUGCCACUUAGUUGUGACGUACUCCCUCCGUACCUAAA